UGAAUCCGGUUCCGCUGCCCGCCACAGCCCCCCUGCCUCAAAAAAACUGAAAAAAUCUACAAAGAAAGAGCAGCCUUCUUCACCAAAGAAGGUUAUGAGGCACAAGAUUUCUUCAGGCAGAUCAACAGUCUCCCUGCCUGUGUUUCCUCGCCUCAGCAACUUUGAUGAGCCGGGCUCCUCAGGAACUGCGCGAAAGCCGCCUGAGGCUGCGGCGGCGGUGCAAGGCUCCGGUGCCGCGGCUUCAGGCUUUCAGUUGCCUGCUUCUCUUAUGGCACUGUUCGGCACCGCGACGGAUGCGGUGCCGACAUUUCACAACAUGCCUGAUCCCCUGCAGGCUGAUGUUGCCCGCCCGGCACCGACCGCGGCACCGACAACCGCGGAGCAGACUGACAGGGAGAUCACAAGCAAAACCCCUGCUCAGAGGAAUGUUCCCUCAUGGCAACCUCCCCCUGCACAGCUUUCACCUCACGCAGGAGCCUCACCAUUUCAAUUUACUCAGACAGCAGAUCUAUUGGUAUCACCUAGCCUGCAGUCUCCCCUGAUGAAUGCCUGUUUUUCUCCAAUUCCUGAGUCAGGAUCUGAACAGCCUUCCUCCAGUGAGGAGGAAACUGAGCCACAGGAAGUUUUUUCUCCAUAUCAAGACUCCCACUCCCAGACCCCAGUCAAUAGAGGUUAUAGAAAAACUACCUCAUCCUAUUCUCAGGAUCCUGCCCCCUGGGGGGUGAACCCCUGGAUGGCACCACCUAUGCCCUACCCACCACCAUGGCAAUAUUGGACACCAUGGGCAUUGUACCCUCGAGAACACGUGCGCUACGGCAAUUCGACCAGGCGCAACACUGGUCUGGUGCCACCACCUGACGAAUCUGCCAGUGACACAAGACACCUGGCAGCACCGUCACACUUCCAGGAUCAACCUAGUCCUGCUCCUAUUCCAGCAGAGCCGGAGGUAAUGCCUGAAGAAGCCUUACUUCCCCUUCCUCCAACACCGUCGGAUGACUACGCAAAAUUCCAAGACCUCUUCAAAAGAGUUGCCAGUGACUUGAGAAUUAACUUGGAGGAAGUCACUGAACAACAGCAUGAGCUAACGGACAUCCUACAGCCCUCUUCUUCCUCUAGGGUGGCAUUACCUAUCAACGUAGCCCUUUUAG
rnacentral:lncRNA from 1 species